rnacentral:tRNA from 1 species
GUUCGCCAAGGUUGGCCGCAACCGCGGCGCCCGCCGCGCGCAGGCUGUCGGCCCUGGCGGCGGAGCGGUUCCAUACCGUCAGCGGAUGCC